UACAGGGGGGGCAAGCGUUGUUCGGAAUUACUGGGCGUAAAGGGUUCGUAGGUGGCCAACUAAGUCAGACGUGAAAUCCCUCAGCUUAACUGGGGAACUGCGUCUGAUACUGGAUGGCUUGAGUGUAGGAGAGGAAUGCGGAAUUCCAGGUGUAGCGGUGAAAUGCGUAGAUAUCAAGCAGAACACCUGCGGCGAAGGCGGCCUUCUGGACGAUGACUGACGCUGAGACACGAAAGCGUGGGGAGCAAACAGG
rnacentral:rRNA from 1 species